CCUACGGGCGGCAGCAGUGGGGAAUAUUGGACAAUGGGGGCAACCCUGAUCCAGCGACGCCGCGUGAGUGAAGAAGUAUUUCGGUAUGUAAAGCUCUAUCAGCAGGGAAGAAAGAAAUGACGGUACCUAACUAAUAAGCCCCGGCUAACUACGUGCCAGCAGCCGCGGUAAUACGUAGGGGGCAAGCGUUAUCCGGAUUUACUGGGUGUAAAGGGAGCGUAGACGGCGAUGCAAGUCUGAAGUGAAAGUCGGGGGCGCAACCCCGGAACUGCUUUUGAAACUGUAUGGCUGGAGUGAAGGAGAGGCAAGUGGAAUUCCUAGUGUAGCGGUGAAAGGCGUAGAUAUUAGGAGGAACACCAGUGGCGAAGGCGGCCUACUGGACGGUAACUGACGUUGAGGCUCGAAAGCGUGGGGAGCAAACAGGAUUAGAUACCCUGGUAGUC
rnacentral:rRNA from 1 species